UUUCACCUGUCCUCUGCCUCAGGUAACUAUAGACAGGAAGGAGUUAGUUUUACUGUCCUCUGCCUUCAGGUAACUAUAGAAGGAAGCAGUGUUAGUUUCACCUGUCCUCUGCCUUCAGGUAACUAUGACAGGAAGCUGUUAGUUUCACCUGUCCUCUGCCUUCAGGUAACUAUAGACAGGAAGCUGUUAGUUUCACCUGUCCUCUGCCUUCAGGUAACUAUAGACAGGAAGCUGUUAGUUUCACCUGUCCUCUGCCUUCAGGUAACUAUAGACAGGAAGCUGUUAGUUUCACCUGUCCUCUGCCUUCAGGUAACUAUAGACAGGAAGCUGUUAGUUUCACCUGUCCUCUGCCCUCAGGUAACUAUAGACAGGAAGCUGUUAGUUUCACCUGUCCCUGCCUUCAGGUUUACUAUACAGGGAACAGUUAGUUUCACCUGUCCACUGCCUCAGGUUACUAUAGACAGGAAGCUCCUGUCCUGUCCACUACCUUCAGGUUACUAUAUAGAGGAAGCUGCUGUCCUGUCCACUACCUUCAGGUUACUAUAUAGAGGAAGCUAAGAGAGAGAAUCUUAUUUAAACCCUUUAGUUGCGUCCCCUCAGCCCUCUUUAUUAAGAAUUAUAUUUUUAUGAGCUUCUUCUGGUCCAUGCUCUAACUCAGGCCCUACAGUCCGCAGGUGUGGUGAGACAGGUGUGUGUGAGACAGGUGUGUGUGAGAGACGUGUGUUGUGAGAGACAGGUGGUGUGAGAGACAGGUGUGUGUAGCUGUGUGUAAGACAGGUGUUUGUGAGAUAGCUGUGUGUAAGACAGGUGUGUGUGAGAUAGCUGUGUGUAAGACAGGGUGUGUGAGAGCUGUGUGAAGACAGGUGUGUGUGGAUAGCGUGUGUAAGACAGGUGUGUUGAGAUAGCUGUGUGUAGACAAGACAGGUGUGUGUGAGAGAGUGUGUAAGACAGGUGUGUGUGAGAGCUGUGUGUAAGACAGGUGUGUGUGUGAGAGCUGUGUGUAAGACAGGUGUGUGAGAUAGCUGUGUGUAAGACAGGUGUGUGUGAGCAGGUGUGUGUAGACAGGUUGUGUGGAGAUAGCUGUGUGUGAGACAGCUGUGUGUGUGAGAGCUGUGUGUGAGACAGGUGUGUGUGAGAGGUGUGUGUGUGAGAUAGCUGUGUGUGAGACAGGUGUGUGUGAGAGCUGUGUGUGAGAGCUGUGUGUGAUAGGUGUGUGUGUGAGACAGGUGUGUGUGAGUAGGUGCGUGUGAGAUAGCGUUGUGUGAGUAGCUGCUGUGUGAGACAGGUGUGUGUGAGAGCUGUGUGUGAGACGUGUGUGUGAGAUAGGUGUGUGUGAGACGCUGUGUGUGAGACAGGUGUGUGUGGAGACAGGCUGUGUGUGAGACAGCUGUGUGUUAGACAGCUGUUGUGAGACAGCUGUGUGUGAGACAGGUGUGUUGUGAGACAGUGUGUGAGACCGGUGUGUGGAGACAGUGUGUGUGAGACAGGUGUGUGUGAGACAGGUGUGUGUGAGACAGGUGUGUGGGAGGUGUGGUGAGAUAGCUGUGUGUAAAACCGUUCGACUAGCAUCUCCUUGACAAACGUACAUUUUGGACAGAUUUCUUGAGUAUCUUUAGAUUAAUUCUGAUAUUUUUGAGGAAGUGUAUAUGGCUACGGCGUCUCAAGUUGGACAAACAGUACCAUCGCUACUUUUUUUUCUUGUUUUUCAAGAGAAGUCUUUUAAGGGAGCUAGCGAGUACUCUCGUUUGGUUCAGCCGAUCGAGCGUGUGGAGAGUAACACAGGUGUGUGUUGUGAGCGUGUAACACGGUGGUGUGUGUGAGCGUGUAACACAGGUGUGUGUGUGUGAGCGUGUAGGUGACACAGGUGUGUGUGUGAGCGUGUAACACAGGUGUGUGAGCGUGUGAAACACAGGUGUGUGGUUGAGCGUGUAACACAGGUGUGGUGUGUAGCUUGUAACACAGGUGUGUGUGUGAGCUUGUAACACAGGUGUGUGGUGUGAGCUUUGUAACACUGGUGUGUGUGUGUGAGCUUGUAACACAGGUGUGUGUGUGUGAGCUUGUAACACAGGUGUGUGUGUGUGAGCUUGUACACAGGGUGUGUGUGUGGCUGUAAACAGGUGUGUGUGUGUGAGGUUGUAAGACAGGUGUGGUGUGUGAGCGUGUAAGACGGUGUGUGUGUGUGAGCGUGUAACACAGGGUGUGUGUGAGCUUGUAACCGGUGGUGUUGUGAGCGUGUAAGACAGGUGUGUGUAGAGCUGUGUGUAGACAGGUUUGUUUGUGUGUGUGUGCGCGUUUGUCUAUAUACAGUUUCCAUGUGUCCAAUACAUGUAUUGUAAGACUGGUAGAGACUGGUUGUUAUCGUCAUACUGUUGAGAGUGGUUGAGACUGGUUGUGUUGUCAGUACUGUGAGACUGAUUGUGUUGUCAGUACUGUUGAGCUGGUUGUGUUGUCAGUACUGUGAGACUGGUUGUGUUGUCAGUACUGUUGACAUGGUUGUGUUGUCAGUACUGUGAGCAUGUUGAGACUGGUUGAGACUGGUUGUGUUGUUCAGUACUGUGAGUAUGUUGAGACUGGUUGAGACUGGUUGUGUUGUCAGCACUGUGAGCAUGUUGGACUGGUUGAGACUGGUUGUGUUGUCAGCACUAAGCAUGUUGAG
rnacentral:lncRNA from 1 species